UCCCUAGAGGACUAGUGGUUAGGCCACGGCGCUCUCACUGCCUCGGACCAGGUUCGAUUCCCAGCCAGGGAA